GACGAACGCUGGCGGCGUGCUUAACACAUGCAAGUCGAACGGAAAGGCCCUGCUUUUGUGGGGUGCUCGAGUGGCGAACGGGUGAGUAACACGUGAGUAACCUGCCCUUGACUUUGGGAUAACUUCAGGAAACUGGGGCUAAUACCGGAUAGGAGCUCCUGCUGCAUGGUGGGGGUUGGAAAGUUUCGGCGGUUGGGGAUGGACUCGCGGCUUAUCAGCUUGUUGGUGGGGUAGUGGCUUACCAAGGCUUUGACGGGUAGCCGGCCUGAGAGGGUGACCGGCCACAUUGGGACUGAGAUACGGCCCAGACUCCUACGGGAGGCAGCAGUGGGGAAUAUUGCACAAUGGGCGGAAGCCUGAUGCAGCAACGCCGCGUGCGGGAUGACGGCCUUCGGGUUGUAAACCGCUUUCGCCUGUGACGAAGCGUGAGUGACGGUAAUGGGUAAAGAAGCACCGGCUAACUACGUGCCAGCAGCCGCGGUGAUACGUAGGGUGCGAGCGUUGUCCGGAUUUAUUGGGCGUAAAGGGCUCGUAGGUGGUUGAUCGCGUCGGAAGUGUAAUCUUGGGGCUUAACCCUGAGCGUGCGUUCGAUACGGGUUGACUUGAGGAAGGUAGGGGAGAAUGGAAUUCUGGUGGAGCGGUGGAAUGCGCAGAUAUCAGGAGGAACACCAGUGGCGAAGGCGGUUCUCUGGGCCUUUCCUGACGCUGAGGAGCGAAAGCGUGGGGAGCGAACAGGCUUAGAUACCCUGGUAGUCCACGCUGUAAACGGUGGGUACUAGGUGUGGGGUCCAUUCCACGGGUUCCGUGCCGUAGCUAACGCUUUAAGUACCCCGCCUGGGGAGUACGGCCGCAAGGCUAAAACUCAAAGGAAUUGACGGGGCCCCGCACAAGCGGCGGAGCAUGCGGAUUAAUUCGAUGCAACGCGUAGAACCUUACCUGGGUUUGACAUGGAUCGGGAGUGCUCAGAGAUGGGUGUGCCUCUUUUGGGGUCGGUUCACAGGUGGUGCAUGCCUGUCGUCAGCUCGUGUCGUGAGAUGUUGGGUUAAGUCCCGCAACGAGCGCAACCCUUGUUCACUGUUGCCAGCACGUUAUGGUGGGGACUCAGUGGAGACCGCCGGGGUCGACUCGGAGGAAGGUGGGGAUGACGUCAAGUCAUCAUGCCCCUUAUGUCCAGGGCUUCACGCAUGCUACAAUGGCUGGUACAGAGAGUGGCGAGCCUGUGAGGGUGAGCGAAUCUCGGAAAGCCGGUCUCAGUUCGGAUUGGGGUCUGCAACUCGACCUCAUGAAGUCGGAGUCGCUAGUAAUCGCAGAUCAGCAACGCUGCGGUGAAUACGUUCCCGGG
rnacentral:rRNA from 1 species